rnacentral:tRNA from 1 species
GGCCUGGUGGCCUAAUGGUAAGGCGUUGCUUUCCGGAAAUCGUUGUGUAGACGAUGUGCAUGGCAAAGAUUGCGGGUUCGAGUCCCGUCUGGGUCG